rnacentral:rRNA from 1 species
AGUAACGCGUGGGCAACCUGCCCCGCACUGGGGGACAACAGCUGGAAACGGCUGCUAAUGCCGCAUAGGCGCACGGCCUCGCAUGAGGCAGUGUGGAAAACUCCGGUGGUGCGGGAUGGGCCCGCGUCUGAUUAGCUGGUUGGCGGGGUAACGGCCCACCAAGGCAACGAUCAGUAGCCGGCCUGAGAGGGUGGACGGCCACAUUGGGACUGAGACACGGCCCAGACUCCUACGGAAGGCAGCAG